CCUUAGUAACGGCGAGUGAAGCGGUAAAAGCUCAAAUUUGAAAUCUGGUACUUUCAGUGCCCGAGUUGUAAUUUGUAGAAUUUGUCUUUGAUUAGGUCCUUGUCUAUGUUCCUUGGAACAGGACGUCAUAGAGGGUGAGAAUCCCGUUUGGCGAGGAUACCUUUUCUCUGUAAGACUUUUUCGAAGAGUCGAGUUGUUUGGGAAUGCAGCUCAAAGUGGGUGGUAAAUUCCAUCUAAAGCUAAAUAUUGGCGAGAGACCGAUAGCGAACAAGUACAGUGAUGGAAAGAUGAAAAGAACUUUGAAAAGAGAGUGAAAAAGUACGUGAAAUUGUUGAAAGGGAAGGGCAUUUGAUCAGACAUGGUGUUUUUUGCAUGCACUCGCCUCUCGUGGGCUUGGGCCUCUCAAAAAUUUCACUGGGCCAACAUCAAUUCUGGCAGCAGGAUAAAUCAUUAAGAAUGUAGCUACUUCGGUAGUGUUAUAGCUUUUUGGAAUACUGUUAGCCGGGAUUGAGGACUGCGCUUCGGCAAGGAUGUUGGCAUAAUGGUUAAAUGCCGCCCGUCUUGAAACAC
rnacentral:rRNA from 1 species